rnacentral:sRNA from 1 species
CACUGACAGAGAUGAAACCCCAGCACUUGGCAGGGAAUGCUUCUGUCCAGCUAUGACUUUGAACAAAAGUCAGGGCUCUGGUUCUGCAGUGUCUAACUCUUAACAGGAAGCCUGCCUCGUGGCAAGGGUCUUGGAUUUGUAACUCUUGGACUUAGUUGUUCUACAUGUGAAGAGUGUAGAAGACCCUCCGAUUGUUAUUUUCACCCAUUAAGGAUUCUCUAGAUAGAAAAGAUUUGCACCAUGGUGGGAAUAUCAAUCAACUCUGAACCUCUAGGACUCUGACAUGAGAUUUAAAGAUUUAUGAUCCAUGAGAAACACAUGGAAAGAUUGUAUAGCUAUUGGGUCUUCUAUCACCCUCAGAGGGGAUUUGCCCUCUACCUGCAGGUGGUUUUAGCAUACCAUGGACAUAUAAGCUCCCAUAUGUACCAUUUCUUCUUCCUUGAUUUAUAUAAACACUUAGUGUCAGGAUUUUCAGAAGUACUUUGAUUCAUAUUGAAUUUGGACUCUGGAUUUGACUGCCUUUAAUUGGUGCUGACUUGUAUAGUGUGGCUCUACUCUGGGGAUGUUGGAGGAUGAGGACCCUUGAAGGGAUGAUUGUACUUGCAGGAGAGACAGGCAGAUAGAAGCUGGCUGGUAUUUACCAUUUUUUGUUUAUGGUUCAGCAUCAGGCACUUCCAGCUCCUGCGUGAACGGACUCCAUAGAAGAACAAUAUAAAGAUUUUGCUGAAUGAGAACAAAAAACUGAUGGUGGAGCAGACUGUUCUGCCAGCAUCCUGUGUGGAGGCAAAGAGGUUCUGUGAAGAGGCCGGAAUGAACAUCUGUGUCCCCAGAGCCAAGCAGUUGCAGGUAGGAUUAGACCUCAAGGUCAGGUUGCCCUCAUGUCUAACCAUAAAGAUAGACAAACGAAUGUAACUGUCCAUUGACUUAUCCAUGUACUGACCUAUGUCUCAUCCAAGUGUUCAUUUAUGUGAUCGUUUACAAGGCUUUCUGUUGGGGUAGCCUUUUUGAAGAAAUUGCAUAUUUGGAAGGCAAAUGCCCCUGCUAUUCUAGAAUCUGCAGUUUAUUACGGGAGAUAGGCUGACUACAUCACAGCACUACAUGCCUUUAUGUGUGGAGGAGGGUGCUAUGUGGGAGCCCCUCUUUAGACUAGCACAGAGCUUUGAGGGAUGAGGCAAAUGCCUGUAGUUCAUUUGCUUUACAGGGAUCUUGUGAGAUUCCAGGAAGUAAGUAGUUUGCAAGGAGGAGAGCCUAGUGGAAAUGCCAAAUAAAUGGUUCUCAUUGUAAUCUUUUGGUGCCUUUUGUUCUUUCUAUCCCCUUUUCCCUAUAUAUGAAGAUGGUCUCUUCAUGCUUCAUACAUCUUGGGUACCUGACAGAACCUGAGUAGCAGCAUGUCAGUCCUAUUUUGUUUAAGUGCUGCUGGACAUUUCAUAUCUGCAUCUUAUACUCUGAAGUUGGUUAGAAGAGCAGGGAUGUGGAAAGGGUUUCAAAAGGUGAGGAUAGGCAUGAGAGAUUUGAGACUUCAAGAACAAAGUUCUCCAUAUAUACCCCACAUUCUGACCAAGAAGAGUGCUAUCUAGGCCUUUUUAUUCCUCUAGGGAAAAUUAGCUGAGUUAGUGAUUCUCUCUUAAAAUACCUGCUUUGAAUAAUCUAUAUUAUGAUCUUCCUCCAGCAUGAUGGAAUCUUCAUUGUUUUCUGCCGACUUAUGGUUUUUCGUGUGUGUGUGUGUGUGUGUGUGUGUGUGUGUGUGUGUGUGUGUGUGUGUAUGCAUCGCUGUGGUGACCUGUAAUUUGUGGGUAUUCAGGGAGGCCAGUUAAUGACAUACAAUUUUGUCCAGUCAUUCUCUAACUUAGUCCUUUGAGCCUAGGUCUCUCAACAAACCUAAAUCUUCCUGUUUUGUGCUGGUCAGCAGUCUUUGCAUCACCUGUCCAGUUCCAGGUGUUGCCACCUCUGUUAUUUGUCUCAACACAUUCUGAAUAACUAAACCAUUCAGCUAUUUUAAAAGUAAGGAUUAGAUUUUGUCACUUUACCUUAAUAGAGGUAUCCCCCUGGAAGAUUCUGGUCUGUCUUAUUGCCUUAACCAUGAUCGUGCAUGGAAUCCUAUAGUGCAUCCCUCUGCUGACAUUGCUUUGCUGACUAUAUCAUGGGCAUGGCAUUCUUCAGGAUACAUUCCCUCUCAGUGUUGUACAGGGUGCAGCAUUUCAGCAAAGUCACUGUAGCCUUUUCUUUUGCCUCCUUCUGACUGAUGUUGAGGUUGUUUUAAUAUCGCAUGAAUUAUAAUGUGAUGAAAAGUUCCUGGGUACUGACCAUGAGUCACUGUCUUCUUCUGAUGCUUCCAAGGUCUUCUAUGAGGGAAGCAGGGUAGUUUUAGUGAGGGGCCUAUGAUGAGUCAACAUGGAGCUUGCUGGAGGCUUUUCUUCUGUCUUGGGCAUUUGGUGAUGUGUUGUUUAGUUUAUCUGUGCAGAGUUUGUAACUUACUUGUAGGUCCAGCAAGUAUCUGCAUAGCAAGAUUUCCUGAAGUGGAAAUGAGUACAGGCCAGGGCAGCACAGCCUGCUUGACUGUAAGAGACUUGUACAUAACAUAGCUCCCACUAAUUCUUCAUUCAACAGAAAACCUGCUGGAUAAAAGCCUUGGGCACGAAGUCAUUCAAGUUAAGGUAAAGAGAGCUGCUAUUAGAAGAAGCUGCACACUGUGGGGGCAAGUCUGAAACAGUGGCCAAGAACAGAGUCUAAUCCACCACCAACAUAUGAUCCUUUGCUGGGAAACAAGCCUGCUCUACACAGCCUUGGGAACGAGCUAAGCCAGAUUGGGGAAUAAGGCAAGAACCAUGAUUCUAUGUUGGUUUAUGGGAGGACAGCACAACACUGACUGAGUUGUUUAUAGGCUAUAGGCUAUGCCUGCUAUGUACAUAUCCCACUCAACAUUUGUUUUUAUGCCUUCAGAGAAUCCUGGGGGGUCUUUAUAUUAAGGAUUACCUCAGAAAGUAAACACUUGACUGCAAUGUACUAUGCUUAUAUUGUGUGAACACACAUGUGUUGUGUGUUUGGGAGUGUGUAUUAGUGUUUCUGUGUGUCUGUGUGUGUUUGUAUGUGCACACAGGUAUGCAUGCCUCCAUUGACAGUACACUCAUCUAAUGACCAGAAUAAGGAAGGAUUAGAGGAAACAAUGCAGGACACUCUGAAGCAGAGAGAACUGAUCACCCAGGAAAGUGACUUGGGAGAAACAGUGUAGAAGAAUUGUGACAUCUUUGAGAUCAGGUCUAAAAUUCUCCAGCGAAACUCGAACAUGGCAUAGACCAGAACAAGAUCUCCCUUGGAGAGCAGUGCCACAGGAGGAGUCUAAGUGUGCACAACAAAUACACCACUAUUACAUCGCAUCCUUAAUAUCCAUAGCAGUUGUGGGCUGCAUUUUCCUACUUUAGUUUGAUUUCUUUGGAUUGAAUAGGCCAUACUUUCAUCUCGGCUCUCCCGAGCAAGCGUGCACAUUUGAAGAAGCGUGCACAGAGAAGAGCUGAUGCACAUCAAUCGAGAACUGCUGAGCAUCCAGGAAGAGUGUGCACAUGUACAUUUGUACUUGUCCUGAAGGGUCACCCAGAAGAGUUUCAUGGAGAUCAGUCCACAACAUUGGAAAAACUUUGAGUCAAAGACUGUCAUAUGUUUUAUACUCAGUAUUGGAUGGCUUUGUCCUUCAUACCCUCACUCCAACAAGGCAGACCUACUUACAUUCCCCUUGAAAAGAUUAUUACCAUCAGUAACUGCUUGUCUACUGUGUUUCCAAGGCAAGUCAUUGGCUAUAAGUCAAUUCUGCAAACGAGCAUCAAAAGAAUGCUUAGGACAAUUCCUCUGUUUACAUUUUGGUUUGACUUUUGAUUACUUUGGUUAUUUGGUUUUCCUUAUAUUCAUUUGAAGUUUUGUUAUUUAUUCAUUGUUGUUUUGUUCAUUCAUUUGAUUUGCUAUUUUGAUAAGGAUACAAACUGUAUAUAUUGACUACCUGCAUCUGGAUACUAUUGAUGUAUUCUGGUGAAUAAAAGAGUGAUCUCAAA